AAUAGUUCUUUAAAGAAUUAUUCACUGAAAGGUUUUUUGAGAAACCAAAAAUGGUUCUGUUGCAUCACUGCAAAACCACAAAACAUUAUUUUUUAAUAAUGUUAAAGUUUAUUUAGAAAAACUGUAAUUUUUGUAUUUUUUUCCUAUUGAUUUUGCCCUGGACAUGUUUUUGGGGCAUUCACUUUACUCCAGGUUUCUCUUGGAUGACUGUGCAGCACUUCCAGUAACAGUUACAACAACAAUCCCUCUAAAAACAUCUACUAAAUCACUCCGCUUCACCAGUUAACUUAACACACUAUGUUCUUUUUAACCUAUUCACCAAUGUGCACAUCCACCAAAAAAAAUGAACAUCCAAAUCAAGGUCUGAGUGUUGCCGUCUCUACCCUUGAGAAAACAGAUCUCUCCCUGCAGUCAAAGCCGUAAAACACAUCCUCCCUUUCCUAUGCUCUUGUUUUUGGAACCUGCUGACUUCUGACAUGGGUUUUAUUGCUUUGCCGUUCACAGACGAGAAUCUGUUGCUAACACAGUGAGCUGCCUAUGUAAGCAACAUUUUAAGACAUCACUCUUGACGCAAAUGAUUAUCCUGAAGUAAACAGUGAGGCCCCGACUGGGUUAAAAGGAAAACUGGAUAAGCUCUGGAGCUCAGCGAGGAUUUGGAGGACAUCCAGUCUGUGCCUGCUGAAAUUACUCCACUGGAGCUAUGCAAAACGUCCUGGCCUGAGCGGUCCAGCAUGAUUCAAUACCAGAUGGCAGUAAUUUAGCAUUGGUCAUUUUUAUAUAAGAUAUACAUAUGCAUGAAUGUUUACAUUGGCGGUGCGCCUCAGAGUUGGGUGUUAAGCAUAUGAUCCUUAAAGGAAUAGCUUUUGUUACUGAAACAAAGCUUGCAUAUGACUUCAGAAGGGCUUGACUAGUCUCGGCCUCAGACGUCACACCCACGGACUGUUGGCUGAACAUCUGACGCAUAUGGCACACUUAUCUGGAAACACUUCAGGAGUUUCGAAGUCGUCAUCUGGUUGGUUGAAUUCUACAGGAUGUCCGGGAGACGUGUGUGUCACAAUCUUUAACGGCCUGCCUGGAAACAAAUGCCAUGACGCCAAACCCCCUCAUGGAAGAAGAACGCUGUCAUGUUUACAAGCGCUUACCAGGAUCAACUAAACGCUGGAUUUUCAAAAGUAUGUGAAGUUCGCGGCUCCAUUGUUACUGUAAACUUGCACAACGUUCUUGAAUUAAUCAUUUAUAGAAGCACGCCGGUCUGUUAUUGUAGGGACAUUGACUUUACAUUUUCACGCUCCUAAACAUGACGUAGAACAAAACGAACUGUGAUUGGUUGCGUUACAUUUCAGUCAAACGUCCUCUUGAGCGGUCCUUGGCCAAUGAAAGCUGCGAUGGAGUCCAGACCUUCUGCCGUCAGUCUGAAAAAUAUCAAUACAUAUCGAUAUUGAAAUAUCUGAAACGCUUCCAAUACUCAUUUACCGCAGAAUAGAUAAUCGAGACCAGCUGCUCUUCCUAUCUCUCAUCAUUCCGACAGCGAGUCGACACACAAACCCGCCUCCUAAUAAAUUGAGUUAUUUUUCGCUGCUUAUUACACAGUCAAUUACACACAAAAUACUGUCAAAACGCCGGUCUUGGCAAGUAUUCACGUAAACAGUUGAGAAAGAAAACGCAUGUGUAACAGUAAAAUGGAUCAGUGCGUCAGGUCUUAAAGUGAAAGCAGCCUAAUAUACCUGCUGCCAAAUUAUGAGAUAAUAUUAAAAAUAUCUAUAUGGCAGUUUUCGCCCAUGGUAUUGAUGUCAAAAUUGUGGCCAGAGAAAAUAAUGAGUGGCUAGUAACUUUGGAAAACUAUUAAACACAGUGGCUGGUGAGCAAAAAAGUUAAUGUCAAGCCAUGUAUAGAGCAUAUGUAAGCAAUAAGGUACGAGGUUGUGCUGUAUCGUAAAUAAGUCCGCUUUGCAUCGUGCCUAACAACGCCCUUCAGCCGUGACUUAUUCAUGAUACAGCACUAGCCUCAAGUACCUUAUUGCUUUUAUAAAACGGUUACCACACAAUACAAAUAUUAAAGCCAAAAAUAUGUAUCAAUGCAACUUUCAUGAAGUAAACUUUCACUAAAAGCCCUCCUUCCGCCAGAAAAAAUAGUCCCUGAAUGUGAACAGCAACAGAAGUUACAUUAUUACGCCAUUAGAUGGCGGCAAAGACUGUCUUUAUGAGUGUGUCAGUCAGUAGCGAAGACUUUUAUAUUGAAAAGACUGAAUUGUUUUGAAAAUGGAACAAGACGCAACUGACAAAUGCUUUGACUAGUGCCGUCAGUCACGGGAAAACCCCUUAACUGUUAAAAGGACAAGAUAAUACAUCGGACAUUUAAACAGAUUUUUUAUUAUGAACAUAGGACUGACCUGAAGGAAAAUGAUAAAUCUGAAUGCAGGUAAUAAACUCGAUCUCUUUCUCACAAUACUGUUCUACAUAAUACAGUAAGCUUCAAUGAACAAUAUCAAUUGAGAACAUACAGUUUACAUUGCUAAAAGUGGUUGCUAAGGGUGUUGUGUAGUGAUACACAGAACCGUUGGGUGAAGCGGUGUUUUAUCGUGAAUAAAUCGCAGCUAUUGACCAAUCAGAAUCAAGGACAGGAACUAACCAUUUUAUAAAUGGAAUAUAAGUCAUGCGCUACUGUUAUGGUAAUUUCAUUGUGUUUUGGGACUUUUACAGAUGUGAUCACCUCAUGGAAGUUUCUUCAGAAAUGAUCUUUUUGUGUUCAUAUACAGCAUGAGGGUGAGUAAAUGGCUGAACUGUUCCUUUAAUUCCUGAAACAUCCUGUGUCUCUGGGUAGAGCUCCCCAACUGUGCUUAUCGUAUCAUGAAUAAGGACAUCAGAACGAUCCAAGUAGAUGAAACCGAGCUAUAUUUAACUGGAAUAGAGUGCUGCGGGCAUGACAUCAAAACCCACCGCUGGUUCACUCGAGAUUUUCCUAUGGGUUUUUAUAAUGGGGUUUUUCAAUUUAUGAGUGAAAUAAUGUCUGUGCUAAACAUAACGUUUUGUUCUACAGUGUAAACUGCACACACACACCACAAAUGUUCUUAUCUAGUUAUUUAUUAGAAACUAAGUUUUUAAAAAUAAACCUAACAGCUUCAAAAUUCACAUUUUCGAUAUGGGUGUGUGUGAAUUACUUUGUUGAACAAAACAUCCAAGCAUCGUCAAGUUAUGUUUACUACAGACCAUAUUUUACUCAUAAACUGAAAAAACCCAUAAGAAAAUCUUGAGGGAACCGGUGGCGAAUUAGUCUUCUGGGUUUUGAUGUGACGCCUGCAGGACUCUGUGAAGGUCAUGAAGCAAUACGGCUUUAAUAUGCAUAACUCAAAACAAGUUUUACUAUUGAAUUGGCCACAGGAUUCCAGUAAGAGUAGAGAGAAGUAACAAAAACAUUCCAGAUUCUAAAUUUAAUCAAUUCAUUGUAAUUCAAAAAAGUUCCUCCUCAAGUCUUCACUAAAGUUUGGAAUGUUUUUGCAAAGAAAUCUCUUCUGCUCACCAAGGCUGCGUUUAUUUGACUGAAAACGCAGUAAAAUCUGUAAUACUGUGAAAUAUUAUUACAGGUGUUUUCCAUGUGAAUUUAUUCCUGUGAUCAAAGCUGAAUUUUCAGCAUCAUUACUCCAGUCUUCAGUGUCACAUGAUCCUUCAGAAAUCAUUCUAAUAUGAUGAUUUGCUGCUCAAGAAACAUUUAUUAUUAUUAUAAUGUCAUUUACACCCUCAUGUUGUUGCUGUAUGAAUGUCUUUCUUCCUUGAACACAAAAGGAGGCUUUUUGAAGGAACUUCAUUCAGCUUUUUGGAGUUCAUAGUGAACACAUCUGUAAAGCUCCAAAAAAAGAAAGAAAAAAAACAUAAAAAGAUCAUACAAGUUUUGCACAAGUCUUCUGAUAGCGUUCUGUGAUGAACAGGCAAAGUUUAAGUCAUUAUUCAGUCAAAAUAACUGCAUACAAGUUUGGAACAACAUUAAGGACAUGAACCUCAUUUUAUUAGUCAUUAUUAAAGUGACUCUACUGGAAAUGCAUCAGAAAACCAGACAUUGCUACCAAGACGUUGUGAAAUUUCGCAACCAUACUGCGAUGAAAGUCUUGUUUUACUAUGAUGCUAUGAUUUUCACUAACAUGUCUGCAGUGAGUAAUUGUCUGUCUGUCUUCCAGCUGCGCAUGUUUCUGUCGUCGUGCAGCUGCACAGUGAGUAAAAUACUGUGAUGUCAUCGCUGACGUGCCUCUUGUGACAAAAAUAUCAUUAUAAAACAUUUUAAUAGUUUUAACCAUUGUCUGCCUAGAAAAGUCCCACCUUUUCUACAGAAUAAGGGUGUUAAUGUCAAAAUGAGUCUAAAAAUAAUUGUUCUGUGGUAAUCACCAGUAUGUCACAGAAAGUAUUAUUUUAGUAUUAUUUAUAUAGUAUUAUAGUAUCUAUUAAUAUUUUAAAUUAGCUUUUAUUAUUCUUUUUAGCUUUCAUUUUAGUUUAAGUUUUAGUAGCCUAAUUUUGUUUUGGAUUUAGUUUGAUUUUUAUUAGUUGAAUUUUUUUAUAUUUCUAUUUAACUUUUUAUUUUUUCAAAAUCUCUUAUUUUUUUAAGUUUUAGUAAUUUUGUUUUGGUUUUAGUUUGAUUUUUAUUCAUUGUAUUUUUUUAUUUCUAUUUAAUUAUUUUUAUUUUUGAUGGAUUUUUUUUUGCUAUUUUAGUACUUCAACUUAUUAAUUACUUAUUUAAUUAUAAAAAUUUUUGUGUACAUUUUUAAGUUUAAGUUUUUCAUUAUAUAUAUAUAUAUAUAUAUAUAUAUAUAUAUAUAUAUAUUAGGGAUGCACGAUAUAUCGGCCACCAUAUCGGUAUCGGAGAAUUUGGAAAUAGGAGAAUUUGGCUAAUAUAUUAAAGCCGAUAAAUUAUGGAUUAUUUCCUUCAGCUGAGACACUUCAGAUGCGUACUGUUUGCUAUUAUGGUUUGAAAAUGAUUGGAGUCAUCCAGAAAAUACAGUUAAAUGCAACAUGUGCAGCGCAAAUCUGUCAUAUCGGCUACAUAAAAUUAUAAUGAGAACAUCAGUUGUAUACUUGGGACAUGGCUUUUAGUGGUGAGACUUUUGUUUUUGUAAUCAGUCUCUCAAAAAUGAUAUAUAAAUUUGGAUUUAGAUUUAUCGGCCAAUAUAUCGGUUAUCGGCUUUCAGAUAUAAAGAAUUAUUGGUAUUGGCCAAAACUUUAAUAUUGGUGCAUCCCUAAUAUAUAUAUAUAUAAAUAUAUAUAUAUAUAUAUAUAUAUAUAUAUAUAUAUGAAAUAUAAAGAAUUAUCGGUUAUCUGUAUCGUCAAAAAUUUUCAUAUCGGUGCAUCCCUAAUAUAGAACAUCAUUAUAAUUGUGUGUUUGGGACAUGGCUUUUAGUGGUAAGACUUUUGUUUUUGUAAUCAGGCACUCAAAAAUUAUUUAAAAAUCUGGAUUUAGAUUUAUCAGCAAAUAUAUCUGUUAUCGGCUUUCAAAUAUAAAGAAUUAUCGGUUAUCAGUAUCAGCCAAAAUUUUCAUAUCGGUGCAUCCCUAAUAUAUAUAUAUAGCUUUAUUACUGAUAGCUAAUAGUUUUAGUUAACAACAACUGGUCCCAGAUCAUGCAAUAUUAAACCAGAAACAUUCCUUUACAUUUCAAUGUUCUUACUUUCUCUAUCAUGCAUACACAUUUCAUCAUAAAUAUACACUUAUAGAUGGCAUGAAGCGUAUUUAUAUUUGCAAAUCCAUAUUUCUUAUGGAUUUUUAUCUGCAGAAAUGUUUUGGCUUCUCAAACGGUGAACAAAAAACAUGCAAUGCACCAAUUUUGAAAUAUUAAGAGAGAACUUAUAAGUUAAAAAAAGUUAAAUUCAUAUGCUCAGAACAGUUGUCUACCAUUUCCUGUUUCACAGCACUGACUUCUUGACAUAAUUUACUACUAAAGGUCAAAAUAUGUUAUUUAUCACUGAUGAGCAAAACAAUCUUGGGAAGAACGAUGAUCUCAAACACAGAUAUUCCUACUUAUAAUUCCCUAAAUAGUGAGAACAUCCUUUUUUUCCCUCUGAAAGUAGGAACAGAUGGAGAUUAUGAAGCUUCCAAUAGGACAAAAAAAAAAAAAAUACAGUGAUUUUAGCAGACGGUGCAAGAAUCAGUUUGUUUGUGUUUGUGAUGUAAAUUAUAUGUGUGCAAACUAUUGUAUGGACCAAAAAUCUAAAUAUCUUCUUAUAUGUUCUGGAGAAGGAAAAAAGUCAUGUUUCAUUUUUAAGUGAUCAUGCCAAGUGCCAAAUGUGUGUAAAAAAGGACAUUGUGAUGGGGACAAAAUAUAUGCCUAUUUUUAAAUAAAAAUAAUGCAAAAUGUCA